rnacentral:rRNA from 1 species
AUUGAACGCUGGCGGCAUGCUUUACACAUGCAAGUCGAACGGUAACAGGCCGCAAGGUGCUGACGAGUGGGGAACGGGUGAGUAAUGCAUCGGAACGUGCCCAGUCGUGGGGGAUAACUACUCGAAAGAGUAGCUAAUACCGCAUACGAUCUAUGGAUGAAAGCGGGGGACCGUAAGGCCUCGCGCGAUUGGAGCGGCCGAUGUCAGAUUAGGUAGUUGGUGGGGUAAAGGCUCACCAAGCCAACGAUCUGCAGCUGGUCUGAGAGGACGACCAGCCACACUGGGACUGAGACACGGCCCAGACUCCUACGGGAGGCAGCAGUGGGGAAUUUUGGACAAUGGGCGCAAGCCUGAUCCAGCAAUGCCGCGUGCAGGAAGAAGGCCUUCGGGUUGUAAACUGCUUUUGUACGGAACGAAACGGCUCUGGUUAAUACCCGGGGCUAAUGACGGUACCGUAAGAAUAAGCACCGGCUAACUACGUG